CGGCUCAGUAACACGUGGAUAACCUACCCUUGAGACGGGGAUAAACCCGGGAAACUGGGUAUAAUACCCGAUAGAUCUCGACUGCUGGAAUGCAUCGAGCUUGAAAGCUCCGGCGCUCAAGGAUGGGUCUGCGGCCUAUCAGGUAGUAGUGGGUGUAGCGUACCUACUAGCCUACGACGGGUACGGGUUGUGAGAGCAAGAGCCCGGAGAUGGAUUCUGAGACACGAAUCCAGGCCCUACGGGGUGCAGCAGGCGCGAAAACUUUACAAUGCUGGAAACAGCGAUAAGGGGACCUCGAGUGCCAGGUUACAAAUCUGGCUGUCGUGAUGCCUAAAAAGCAUUGCAUAGCAAGGGCCGGGCAAGACCGGUGCCAGCCGCCGCGGUAACACCAGCGGCUCGAGUGGUAACCGUUAUUAUUGGGUCUAAAGGGUCUGUAGCCGGCCGGAUAAGUCUCUUGGGAAAUCUGGCAGCUUAACUGUCAGGCUUUCAGGAGAUACUGUCUGGCUCGAGGCCGGGAGAGGUGAGAGGUACUUCAGGGGUAGGGGUGAAAUCUUGUAAUCCUUGAAGGACCACCAGUGGCGAAGGCGUCUCACCAGAACGGACCUGACGGCAAGGGACGAAAGCUAGGGGCACGAACCGGAUUAGAUACCCGGGUAGUCCUAGCCGUAAACGAUACUCGCUAGGUGU
rnacentral:rRNA from 1 species